UUGGAGGAUGAUAUAAGAAUGGGAGCUGACAUUGUAGCUGAUGGACUCACUGACAGACCACCUGAUAGACUUGCUGAUGAACCGGCUGAAGGACUUUCUGACAGACUUCCUGAAGGACUUUCUGAAGAACCCGCUGACGAACUAGUUGACAAACUUAACCUU
rnacentral:sRNA from 1 species